UCCCUCUGUGGCCAGAGGUAGCCGGUUUUGUGGGAGCCGGGGAUGACCCACAGGCAGCCAUUUUCGAUGGUCGCGUCAUCCAGGGCAAUCCA
rnacentral:tRNA from 1 species